GAACUGCAUGAGAGAUCCAAGGUGGAGUGGAGGAAGUGACUCUACAGCUUUUUCACUUUUUCAGCGCCCCACCAAAGAAGCUACUAAACCAAAACCCAUUUUUCUUGCUGACCAUUUUUCUUACUGCUUCUUAGGGUUUUGAGGAAGCAUUUUCAGCUCUCCAAAAACCCUGCGAUUGCUGCCGGAGAUUCUCGUUGUCGCCGCCGUAGUUACUGACGGUGGAGCCACAUACAUUUGGACCUCGUUUACAGUUGUCGUCUUUCACUGGUCACUACCCGCUCUGUCUCUCCUCCUCCAUCUUUUGAGAGGACAGGGACAGGAUUGGAGGUGGGCUGGGCAUUGUGGCUUUGUUUAAACUCUAAUUGGUGUACAGGGAUUUAAUGAGCUUGCAACUGAUUUUUUUCAUUGUGCAUGCUAAUUUACAAAGCUUGACUUCACAGGCCAGACAAUUACGUAUUUUAUUCUUCUUGAGUAUGGAUAUGAUGGCUCACAAAAUGAAAUGACCUAUUCCACCUAAGCAUGUUUGUGCUAUUACAGCUUUAGCGCUAAAUGCUUAGUAAGAUUGCUUUGUGCAGAGGUUGUCGGCUACCGGGCCUUGUCAGCCCGGCAGCGUAUCAGAGUGAAAAAAAAAAAUUGGACUCGCUUUUGGGUACCGGGCUGUAUCAGCCCGGCACCCAUAAGUAUGCAACAUAUCCCUGUCAAAGCCGUAGAUGUCCGAAUUUUCUUUUCCUCAGCCAUAUUCUAAGUAAUUAGCCCAAGUGCAACUACGCAAAAAUACUGAGCAAAGUUCGAGCAACGCUAGCUUAAAACCCUCCACAAACCCUUCUGCUAGAAGCUUCAACAGGUUAUUGCAGUUGUAUUGCACUGAAUCUUUUGGUACUUUUGGUUUAGAGGUGAAAACUGGAAUUUUGGGCCAAAAACUAGCCAGCCUAUGGCAUUGAGGCGCUUUUUGGGGUUUUCUGAUGGGGAGUUAAUGAGAUCAGAUGCUAAACCCUGUUCCCGGUUGAUGAGACAAACGGCUGGGAUUUUCUCUGUUGGUGGAGCAUUAGGAUUUUGGGUUCUCUGUCGCCUGCAUUAUGGUCCCAGAAUUACAAUUCCUCGAAGUCUUAGGUGGGCUGCCUGUGGAGCAAUCACUGCAAGCUCAUCUACAGCUUUGCUUGUCCGGCUGUUUAGUCCUGAAUGUGAGCCACAAAAUAUAGCUGCUUUUGACAAGAAAAAGUAGUAAUUAACACAUUCAAGUUUUGAUAUUUGUAAAACUACAGUGUCUCCUGUGAGUUUCUCUCCUAAAAGUGGGCAUUUGCAUGUUUUAUAAACUAUUCUGCAUGGGGAAGGGUGGUUGUAUUGUAAGCAAUCAAAAGUUUUAUCAAAAAAGGUGGAAGGUUGGUUGUAAGCAUGGAAGGGUGGUUGCUUUUAAUACAUUUCGCCGUUUUAUCCAACCAAAAAUAAAAAUAAAAAAAUGGAAGGGUGGUUGUGUCGUUUGUCAACUUACGAAAUGACAGUUUUAUUUAUUGUCUAGCCAAGUAGUUUCAUUUGCCCUCUGGAGUUGCCACUAGUUCUCAAGCAUAUUCAAGUGAUGGGCACAUAAUUCUUUUUCCA